GGAAGCCAUUUGGUGCAGGUGAAGAAUCAUGAGGGCUGCGCUGGUGGCUGUGGUGUUUUUCCUGGCUGUCUCAACAGCCCAGGCAAUCCUUCUAAAAGCCCUUGGAGCAGGAGCUCUAGGAUUGGCCGCUGGAGCCUUGCUUGGUGGCGCUCUGUCGCAUGGUAUAGGCGGCGGUGGUGGCGGCUACUAUCCUUAUCCCUACAGCCGCUCAUACGGUGGUGUUUUUGGCUUCGGAGGAGGUCAUGGAUUCUACGGAUAGACAAAGCUUUGCUACUAUACCCGCACCUUGGACACAAUCAAGACUUUUCCGGUAUUCCUAAAGGCAGAUCAACGAUUCAUGGCCGGAAGAGUUUUUGCUCUAAUUUGAUAGCACUCAGGCAAAAUAAAAAUUAUUUAUUGCUUCCUC